GGAACAGGACGUCACAGCAGGGUGAGCAAUCCCGAUGGCGCAUGAGAUGCCCAACUUCUAUGUAAGGUGCUUUCGAAGAGUCGAGUUGUUUGGGAAUGCAGCUCUAAGUGGGUGGUAAAUUCCAUCUAAAGCUAAAUAUUGGCGAGAGACCGAUAGCGAACAAGUACAGUGUAUGGAAAGAUGAAAAGAACUUUGAAAAGAGAGUGAAAAAGUACGUGAAAUUGUUGAAAGGGAAGGGUUUGAGAUCAGACUCGAUAUUUUGUGAGCCUUGCCUUCGUGGCGGGGUGACCCGCAGCUUAUCGGGCCAGCAUCGGUUUGGGCGGUAGGAUAAUGGCGUAGGAAUGUGACUUUACUUCGGUGAAGUGUUAUAGCCUGCGUUGAUGCUGCCUGCCUAGACCGAGGACUGCGAUUUUAUCAGAGAUGCUGGCA
rnacentral:rRNA from 1 species